AAUUAACUGAAAAAGCUUGAAAACAUUAGUCUGUGUGUAAUUAUUUUAUAUACUGCGUUUCACUCAGGUGAACUGAGGUACUGAACGAAUAGUAAUGGAAAAACUUAAAUGAAUAAGAAAGUUUACUCUAAUGAGCUAUCGCUCUUAGUUACCAAGGAGACAUAAGUCAUUUUCACUCAAUCAGCAUUUUAUUAGUUAUUGCAACAACAUCAUCAGUGUUUUUUCCAGACUGAUCUAUUCUCACUAAACAUCCCCUCCCUACGUAUACUUGGUCUUGAAUUAUCAAGCAAGCAGUAUGCAAGCGUUAUGUUUUACCACCAUACAAUAAGAGUCACAACCCCAGUUUACACAUAUAACUAAAAGAGACUAUUUUCUAAAUUUCCACUAACAAUAAACCUAUCAAUAAAGUUUGUAUUUUUUUAACAAAGAGAAGAAUCACAGCAGAAAAUUCAAAGCGGAACCAAAAAUCAUUUCCUGUUUCUUCAGUACAGCCAGAGUGAAACACACAAACUAUAAAAACAGAGCACGCGGGACAGCCUUGGCUUUUCUUUUGUUAGAAGACGGUUUGAAAACAGGUUUGGUGUUUUCAGUGAAAAUGUCUUCAGUUCCGCCUCAGAGAGAGUUUAUCAACGAGCAGGUAACUCCUGCUGGAGAAACAUUCACAGAGUGGAAAGAAAUCAACGUUAAAAUCGAGGAAGAGACGGAGGAUCAGCGCAGACUGAUGGAUUUUACCCGGAUACCGCAGAUCAUCUUACACCGAAUAGAUCUCUCACAGUGCUGGGUGUGUAAAGAGGAGGAGGUUCUCAAUGAAUUCAGCAACCAGGAGAGGAAGUCCACUUCAGAUAAAGAAGAACCAGAACAUCAAGAGUCCAAAGAGGAAGAGAAGCAACUCUGCAUCAGUCAGGAUGAAGAGCAUCUUGUGCUGAAACAGGAGACUGAUGACAUUUUGGUGAAUCCUCUUAAUGUGCAAAGAAUCCACAAUGAAACAGAACCACAGAGGAACCAACUCAUCUCUCAUGGCUCUGCUGAGGAUGAGAACCAGGAUCAGGAAGGAAGCAAUUCUGAAGACCCAGGAAAAGAGAGAAAGGAAGAACAGAAACAAAAGGAGAGAUUUGAGAAAAUCAAAGAGCAGAAAAGCAGAACUGACACUGAAAAGAAAAAAAAGCACAAGAAAGCUCACGCAGAGCAAAAAUUAUAUUCUUGUAAAAUUUGUGAUAAAACAUUUUCUCGAAACCGUAACUUGAUGGUACACGUGAAAACUCACACAGGAGAAAAACCUUUCACUUGUUCAAUCUGUGGAAAACGUUUCACACAAAAAGGACAUUUAACUCAGCACAUGAGAAUUCACACAGGUGAGAAGCCUUUCUCUUGUGGGACCUGUGGAAAAAGUUACAGACAACAAAAUGGUUUAAUUUAUCACAUGAGAAUUCACACAGGUGAGACGCCUUUCACAUGUGGGAACUGUGGAAAAAGCUUCUCUCGAAAAUAUCAAUUAGAUUAUCACAUGAUAAUUCACACUGGUGAGAAGCCUUUCUCAUGUGGGAGCUGUGGAAAAAGUUUCAACGAUAAAGGCCAAUUAAAUGUACAUAUGAGAAUUCACACAGGUGAGAAGCCUUUCUCCUGUGGGACCUGUGGAAAAUGUUUUACCCAUAAAUACACUUUGAAUGUUCAUAUGAGAAUUCACACAGGUGAGAAGCCUUUCUCUUGUGAUACUUGUGGAAAAAGUUUCUCUCAAAAAGAUAAAUUAAAUAAUCACAUGAGAAUUCACACAGGUGAGAAGCCUUUCUCUUGUGGUACUUGUGGAAAAAGUUUCUCUCAAAAAGAUAAAUUAAAUAAUCAUAUGAGAAUUCACACAGGUGAGAAGCUUUUCUCAUGUGGGAGCUGUGGAAAAGGUUUCAUUGAUAAAGGCCAAUUAAAUGUACAUAUGAGAAUUCACACAGGUGAGAAGCCUUUCUCUUGUGGGACCUGUGAAAAAUGUUUUACCCAUAAAUUCACUUUAAAUGUUCAUAUGAGAAUUCACACAGGUGAGAAGCCUUUCUCUUGUGGGACCUGUGGAAAAAGUUUCAUCCAUAAAAAUAAUUUAACUGUUCAUAUGAGAAUUCACACUGGUGAGAAGCCUUUCUCUUGUGGAACCUGUGGAAAAUGUUACAGUGAAAAAAGGUCUUUAAUUCAGCACAUGAGAAUUCACACAGGAGAGAAGCCUUUCUCAUGUGGGAACUGUGGAUAAGAAUUACCGUCUAAGAACGACUUUAACUCAGCACAUGAGAACUCACACAGGUGAGAAGGCUUUUUCAUGUCCAAGUUGUAGAAAACAAUUCAGUCAAAAAGGACAUUUAACCGGGCACAUGAGAAUUCACACAGGUGAGAAGCCUUUUUUAUGUGAGAUCUGUGGAAAAAGUUUCUCUCAAAAAUCUUAUCUUUCUCAACACGUUGAAGCUCACGCAGCUGA